GGGGGAUCAAUUAAGAGGCUUCGUGGCUUGAGAUUUAGCAAGGCUGGCAAAAGGGGCAAUGGCCAUCCUAUUCUUCAAGGCUCUUCCCCUGCUUCUUCUUCUUUCUUUUACAGAUUUAUUUGCAAGCACACUCAGCCUUGGAAUUGGAAUUAACUAUGGCCAAAUUGCAAACAAUUUGCCAACACCCUCACGAGUCUCGUUUCUCCUCAGAUCACUCAAUGUUACGAGAGUAAAACUCUAUGACGCUGAUCCAAACGUGUUAACCGCUUUCGCUAACACGAAUGUUGAAUUUGUUAUCGGACUUGGGAAUGAGUACCUACAAAGAAUGUCUGAUCCUCAACAAGCUCAGGCUUGGAUUCAACAACAUGUUCAACCUUACCAUACUCAGACUAAAAUCACUUGUAUUACUGUUGGUAAUGAGGUCUUGACAGGUACUGAUACGCAGCUGAAGUCUUACCUCCUACCAGCAAUGCAGGGUGUGUACCGUGCUCUUGUUAAUCUUGGACUUAGUAAUGAAAUAUAUGUGGCACAUCCCCACUCGGCGGGGAUCUUGGAGAACUCUUUUCCGCCUUCUUCUUGUUCAUUUCGACAAGAUCUUAGUGAAUACAUUCAUGGCAUGCUCAAUUUCCAUGUCCAAACUAAGUCGCCGUUCCUUAUAAAUUUCUAUCCAUUCUUUGCAUACAAAGACAAACCCAACGAAGUUCCGCUUGAUUAUGUACUUUUCCAGCCUAACCAAGGUACGACUGACCCGAUCACGAAUUUGAAGUAUGACAACAUGUUGUAUGCACAAAUUGAUGCAGUUUAUUCAGCAAUUAAGGCAAUGGGCCACACAGACAUUCCAGUUAAGGUUUCCGAAACUGGCUGGCCAUCAAAGGGAGACCCGAAUGAGUUUGGAGCAACACCUGAAAAUGCUGCACUAUAUAACGGUAAUUUGUUUCAGCGUAUGCAGCAAAAUCAAGGGACUCCAGCAAAGCCAUCAGAGCCCAUCGAUGUUUACGUGUUUGCACUUUUUAACGAAAAUUUAAAGCCUGGUCCAGCAUCAGAGAGGAAUUAUGGUCUCUACUACCCUGAUGGAACUCCAGUUUAUAACAUCGGGUUACGAGGGUUUCUUCCACGUAUGGACUAUUCAGCUGCUAAGAAAAAUGCCUUCUUUAUUUCUGCUUUUCUUCUGCUUAUGAUGAUUUUCUUGAUACACUUCUGAACGCUGUACGAUAGAUAAAAUAUGGAGAUUAGAGAUGAUUCAAUUUUUUCAGGAACUUCCACUGAUAUAUAUUAGACGGUAGUCGUAGACGACGCAGUUUUUAUUAUCUUCUGUUUCACAUUUUGCUAACUCUGCUGGAAAAAUUUGCUU
rnacentral:misc_RNA from 1 species